rnacentral:rRNA from 1 species
UACGGAAGGCAGCAGUGGGGAAUAUUGGACAAUGGGCGGAAGCCUGAUCCAGCCAUGCCGCGUGUGUGAAGAAGGCCUUUUGGUUGUAAAGCACUUUAAGCGAGGAGGAGGCUCUCCUAGUUAAUACCUAGGAAGAGUGGACGUUACUCGCAGAAUAAGCACCGGCUAACUCUGUGCCAGCAGCCGCGGUAAUACAGAGGGUGCGAGCGUUAAUCGGAUUUACUGGGCGUAAAGCGUGCGUAGGCGGCUGAUUAAGUCGGAUGUGAAAUCCCUGAGCUUAACUUAGGAAUUGCAUUCGAUACUGGUCAGCUAGAGUAUGGGAGAGGAUGGUAGAAUUCCAGGUGUAGCGGUGAAAUGCGUAGAGAUCUGGAGGAAUACCGAUGGCGAAGGCAGCCAUCUGGCCUAAUACUGACGCUGAGUACGAAAGCAUGGGGAGGCAAACAGGGAUUAGAUACC